rfam:Dorea sp. CAG:105 genomic scaffold, scf201
AUAGGUACUGAUUACUGACGGAUAAUUGUGGAGAACCACAGGGGAAUCAAGUAUUAGAAAGACAAGCCGACCGUCUGGGCAACAUUU